rnacentral:rRNA from 1 species
AUUGAACGCUGGCGGCAUGCCUUACACAUGCAAGUCGAACGGCAGCACGGAGCUUGCUCUGGUGGCGAGUGGCGAACGGGUGAGUAAUAUAUCGGAACGUACCCAAGAGUGGGGGAUAACGUAGCGAAAGUUACGCUAAUACCGCGUACGAUCUCAGGAUGAAAGCAGGGGACCUUCGGGCCUUGUGCUCCUGGAGCGGCCGAUAUCUGAUUAGCUAGGUGGGGGGGUAAAGGCCCACCAAGGCAACGAACAGUAGCUGGUUUGAGAGGACGGCCAGCCACACUGGAACUGAGACACGGUCCAGACUCCUACGGGAGGCAGCAGUGGGGAAUUUUGGACAAUGGGGGCAACCCUGAUCCAGCAAUGCCGCGUGAGUGAAGAAGGCCUUCGGGUUGUAAAGCUCUUUUGUCAGGGAAGAAAAGGGAUUGGCUAAUAUCUAGUCCUCAUGACGGUACCUGAAGAAUAAGCACCGGCUAACUACGUGCCAGCAGCCGCAGUAA